UAGGGAAUAUUAGUAAUGGGCGAAAGCCUGAACUAGCAACGCCGCGUGUGCGAAGAAGGCCUUCGGGUUGUAAAGCACUUUUUGAGAGGAUGAGGAAGGACGGUACUCUCAGAAUAAGUCUCGGCUAACUACGUGCCAGCAGCCGCGGUAACACGUAGGAGGCGAACGUUAUCCGGAUUUACUGGGCGUAAAGCGCGUGUAGGUGGUUUGGUAAGUAGGGCGUGAAAGCUCCUGGCUCAACUGGGAGAGGCCGUUCUAAACUGCCGAACUAGAGGAUGGUAGAGGGAGGUGGAAUUCCGGGUGUAGCGGUGGAAUGCGCAGAUAUCCGGAGGAACACCAGUGGCGAAAGCGGCCUCCUGGACCAUUCCUGACACUCAGACGCGAAAGCUAGGGUAGCAAACG
rnacentral:rRNA from 1 species